rnacentral:misc_RNA from 1 species
UCCCGGUUGGCCCGGGCAGUCUCGCGUGAAAGUAUAACACGCGACAAGGGUUGCGCUCGUUGCGGGACUUAACCCAACAUCUCACGACACGAGCUGACGACGGCCAUGCAGCACCUGUCACUGCGUUCCCGAAGGCACAGCUGCCUUUCGGCGGCCUUCGCAGGAUGUCAAGCCUCGGUAAGGUUCUUCGGUUAGCUUCGAAUUAAACCACAUAAUCCACUGCUUGUGCGGGUCCCCGUCAAUUCCUUUGAGUUUUAAACUUGCGUUCGUACUCCCCAGGCGGAUCACUUAACGCGUUAGCUACUGAGCACAGAGGGUCGAAUCUCCAUACUCAUAGUGAUCAUCGUUUACGGCGUGGACUAC